UCUCUCUCUAUCUAGUCUCUUUUCUUUCUGCUAUUCAACUUCAUAGUUCAUACAUUGACUCUACUACACUACUGCAUUCUCUUCCACUCCCUCAGUUCUCUCACAUUUUCAUCUAGUUCUCUGUCUCUCUCUCUCAAGCUGUUCUUCUUUUUUGUCCAUCAUUAGCAACAAGGUUUUUGAGGAAGAGAAGAGUUACAAGCUGUGUCAGAGAUCAUGGAAGCUUCUAAGCCAGAAGAGAUAAACCACCCACCAAUGGACCAGCUUCAAGGCUUGGAGUACUGUAUAGACUCAAACCCAUCUUGGGUGGAGUCAAUAGCUCUUGGUUUCCAGCAUUAUAUUCUGGCUUUAGGAACUGCUGUCAUGAUUCCUUCAUUCCUUGUGCCUCUGAUGGGAGGAAGUGAUGAUGAUAAAGUUAGGGUGAUUCAGACACUGCUUUUUGUUGAAGGGAUUAAUACAUUGCUACAGACACUCUUUGGAACCCGGUUACCAACAGUGGUAGGAGGAUCUUAUGCAUACAUGGUCCCCAUUAUAUCUAUAAUCCAUGAUUCAUCACUUGUGAAGAUACAGGACCCUCAUUUGAGAUUUCUUAACACAAUGAGAGCAGUCCAAGGUGCAAUGAUAGUAGCAUCAAGUAUACAAAUUAUUUUGGGUUUUAGUCAAUUAUGGGCCAUUUGUUCUAGGUUUUUCAGUCCACUUGGAAUGGCUCCAGUGAUUGCAUUAGUUGGUUUUGGAUUAUUUGACCGAGGUUUCCCUGUGGUUGGACAUUGUGUUGAGAUUGGAAUUCCCAUGUUAGUUCUGUUUGUAGCCUUCUCUCAGUACUUGAAAAGCUUCCAUACCAGACAAAUACCAAUACUAGAGAGGUUUGCACUACUUAUAUCAACCACCAUCAUUUGGGCAUAUGCACAUCUCUUAACAGCAAGUGGAGCAUACAAACACCGCCCGGAACUAACCCAACAUAAUUGCAGAACAGACAGAGCCAAUCUUAUUUCUUCUGCUCCAUGGAUAAAGAUCCCAUACCCUCUUGAGUGGGGUGCUCCUACAUUCAAUGUUGGUCAUGCUUUUGCAAUGACAGCUGCAGUUUUAGUCUCCUUAAUUGAGUCAACUGGGGCAUACAAAGGUGCAUCAAGACUGGCAAGUGCAACACCACCUCCUUCACAUGUUCUAAGCCGUGGUAUUGGCUGGCAGGGAAUUGGAAUACUGCUAAAUGGACUUUUUGGAACAGCAACUGGUUCAUCAGUUUCUGUAGAGAAUGUGGGACUCCUUGGAAGCACUCGCGUUGGAAGUCGAAGGGUCAUUCAAAUUUCAGCUGGCUUUAUGAUAUUCUUCUCAAUGUUAGGAAAAUUUGGAGCUUUCUUUGCAUCAAUACCCUUACCUAUUUUUGCAGCUGCACACUGCAUUCUAUUUGGUCUUGUUGCUUCUGUGGGACUAUCAUUUCUGCAGUUCACUAACAUGAACUCAUUGAGGAACCUCUUUAUUACUGGUGUUGCCCUUUUCUUAGGACUUUCCAUUCCUGAGUAUUUCAGAGAAUACACUGCCAAGGCCCUUCAUGGACCUACUCAUACAAAGGCUAGAUGGUUUAAUGAUUUCCUUAAUACUAUAUUCUUCUCUUCACCAAGUGUUGCAUUGAUUAUUGCUGCAUUCUUGGACAACACACUUGAUUACAAGGAUAGUGGAAAGGAUAGAGGAAUGCCAUGGUGGGCCAAGUUUAGAUCAUUCAAAGGAGAUACCAGGAAUGAAGAAUUCUACACCCUCCCUUUCAACCUCAACCGGUUUUUCCCUCCAUCUUAAGAAGAAAGUUCUAUCUUAAAAGGAAGAUGUAAAAGGAAAAGCAUCAUUCCCAGAGGGUUGUAUAUGUUUUGAUUGAGGUGUGUUUGACUUGUAACUUGAAUCUUUGGAAGUUGGAGCUAAGAAAGAAAGAAAAGAUGACAAUGGUAAUGUAUGGUUUCAGUGCCAAUGAAGAACUGCUAAUAUGUUCUGUCUCUGUUGAGAAGCAGCUUUAGCUUUACCCUAUCUGUGUCUGUCUUCUUCUGCAUAUCAUGUCCUUUUCUGUAUUUAUGUGAUAAAUCACAGUGGAUAGGGAUGCCAUAUUGAUAAUCAUAUAAUAAUGGAUUCUCAUCCACCUAAGUUGCCUCAUCUGG